rnacentral:rRNA from 1 species
UACGAAGGGGGCUAGCGUUGCUCGGAAUCACUGGGCGUAAAGCGCACGUAGGCGGCUUUUUAAGUCAGGGGUGAAAUCCUGGAGCUCAACUCCAGAACUGCCUUUGAUACUGGAAAGCUCGAGUCCGGAAGAGGUGAGUGGAACUGCGAGUGUAGAGGUGAAAUUCGUAGAUAUUCGCAAGAACACCAGUGGCGAAGGCGGCGACCUGGUCCUUUUACUGACGCUGAGGCGCGAAAGCCAGGGGAGCAAACGGG